AUAAGAUAUCAAGGGCAACAGGUGAAUGCCUUGGCGCUGAGAGGCGAUGAAAGACGCGGUAAGCUGCGAUAAGCAUCGGGGAGGAGCUAAACAUCCUACGAUCCGAUGAUUUCUGAAUGGGGAAACCCGAUGGGAGUCAUGUCCCAUCAUCCUGAGCUGAAUACAUAGGCCCAGAGAAGCCAACCCGGGGAAGUGAAACAUCUCAGUACCCGGAGGAAGAGAAAUCAAACGAGACUCCCAAAGUAGCGGCGAGCGAAAUGGGAAGAGCCCAAACCGAGUGGUUUCGACCAUUCGGGGUUGUAGGGCCGGCAUACGCGAUUCUGGAGUAGGCAGAGGAAGUGAGCUGGAAAGCUCCGCCACAGCGGGUGAUAGCCCCGUACUCGAAACCGAAAAGGACGCAGCCGGUACCUGAGUACUGCGAGGCACGUGAAACCUCGUGGGAAUCUAGGGGGACCAUCCUCUAAGGCUAAGUACUCCUCAGCGACCGAUAGUGAACUAGUACCGUGAGGGAAAGGUGAAAAGAACCCCUGUUAGGGGAGUGAAAUAGAAUCUGAAACCUGUUGCCUACAAGCUGCGAGAGCUGCUUUUUGCAGUGAUCGCGUGCCUUUUGUAUAAUGAGUCAGCGAGUUACUCUACCGUGCGAGGUUAAGCGAAAGCGUAGCCGUAGUGAAAGCGAGGCUUAAUAGGCCGACUAGUACGUUGGAGUAGACCCGAAACCGGGUGAUCUAUCCAUGAGCAGGUUGAAGCAAGGGUAAAGCCUUGUGGAGGACCGAACCGUCAACGGCUGAAAACGUUCCGGAUGACUUGUGGAUAGGGGUGAAAGGUCAAUCAAACCCGGUGAUAGCUGGUUCUCCCCGAAAUAUAUUGAGGUAUAGCCUCGGGAAUUGAUUAGCGGAGGUAAAGCACUGACAGAGCUAGGGGUCCUACCAGAUUACCAAACUCUAUCAAACUCAGAAUGCCGCUUAAUUGUAUCCCGGGAGUCAGACGGCGGGUGCGAAGGUUCGUCGUCAAAAGGGAAACAGCCCAGACCAACAGCUAAGGUCUCCAAAUCCAUGCUCAGUGGUGAAGGUAGUGGAACCGUUCAGACAGCCAGGACGUUGGCUUAGAAGCAGCCAUCGUUUAAAGAAAGCGUAAUAGCUCACUGGUCUAAUGGCUCUGCGCCGAAAAUGUAACGGGGCUAAGCAUGGUACCGAAGCUUUGGCAAUCUUCUUUGAAGAUUGGGUAGGGGAGCGUUCGCUGCGGGCUGAAGGUGUGCCGGAAGGCAUGCUGGACUGCAGUGAAGUGAUUAUGCUGACAUGAGUAACGAUAAAAUAUGUGAAAAACAUAUUCGCCGAAAACCCGAGGUUUCCUGGGUAAAGGUAAUCUUCCCAGGGUUAGUCGGAUCCUAAGGUGAGGGUGAAAGCCGUAACCGAUGGAAAACAGGUUAAUAUUCCUGUACUUGUUGUGUAGCGCGAUGGAGGGACGCAGGAAGAUAGGCGGGCCGGGUGUUGGAUAUCCCGGUGCAAGCGUGUAGGAAUAUCCGGUAGGCAAAUCCGCCGGACGAAUCUGAGACGCGAGUCCGUGGGCGCAAGCCCUGAAGCCGUUGAGUCUAUGCUGCCUAGAAAAGCUCCUAAGUUUAUCCACAGCAAUCCGUACCGCAAACCAACUCAGGUGGGUGGGAUGAACAAUCCAAGGCGCUCGAGAGAACUCUGGCCAAGGAACUCGGCAAAAUAACCCCGUAACUUCGGAAGAAGGGGUGCUCUCUAGGGUGACAUGUUUAACAUAUGAAGCCCCGGGGAGCCGCAGUGAAUUGGUGGUGGCGACUGUUUACUAAAAACAUAGGUCUGUGCGAAGUCCUAAAGACGACGUAUACGGACUGACGCCUGCCCGGUGCUGGAAGGUUAAAAGGAGGGGUCAGCGCAAGCAAAGCUCCGAAUUGAAGCCCCAGUAAACGGCGGCCGUAACUAUAACGGUCCUAAGGUAGCGAAAUUCCUUGUCGGGU
rnacentral:rRNA from 1 species